GGCACCUGGAAGGGCUCCCAGAGAAGGCACAUGGGCUGCUGGGCGGGGGGAAGGUGUCCCCGCUGCAGUGCCAGGAUGCAAGUUUGAUCCCUGGCCUGGCACAGUGGGUUAAAGGAUCCGGCUUUGCCGCAACUGUGGCAUGGGUCACAUCUGUGGCUCGGAUCUGACCCCUGGCCCGGGGAACUCCAUAUGCUGUGGGACGGCCAAAAAAGGAAAAACAAAAUCAAGUGACAUGAAAUAAAAUAAAAGGCUGCGGGAACUUGGACACAUAAAAAGCAUGAAGAGGGCAGGCCAGGCCGGGGCAUGGAGGCAGGGGACGAGUCUACCCUGAGCGAGAAAUGAAGAGCAAGUGUCGCCACCAGAGUGUGGGUGUCGCCCAACCCAGCCUGUCCCCCAGCAGAAGGGGAACUUCUGGCCGACCUGAUUCCUGCCCUCCUGGCUUGCCACAGACAACGUCAUCCCUUUG
rnacentral:lncRNA from 1 species